rnacentral:rRNA from 1 species
CAAGUCAGGAGUGAAAGGCUACGGCUCAACCGUAGUAAGCUCUUGAAACUGGGAGACUUGAGUGCAGGAGAGGAGGGUGGAAUUCCUAGUGUAGCGGUGAAAUGCGUAGAUAUUAGGAGGAACACCAGUUGCGAAGGCGGCUCUCUGGACUGUAACUGACGCUGAGGCACGAAAGCGUGGGGAGCAAACAGGAUUAGAUACCC